UACCCAGCAAUGGGAUGCGAAUCUCGAAAGCCUGUCUCAGUUCGGAUUGGAGGCUGAAACCCGCCUCCAUGAAGUUGGAUUCGCUAGUAAUCGCGCAUCAGCCAUGGCGCGGUGAAUACGUUCCCGGGCCUUGUACACACCGCCCGUCAAGCCAUGGGAGCCGGGGGUGCCUGAAGUUCGUUACCGCAAGGAUCGACCUAGGGCAAAACUGGUGACUGGGGCUAAGUCGUAACAAGGUAGC
rnacentral:rRNA from 1 species